AUCUAUGGCCAUACCACUCUGAACACGCCCGAUCUCGUCUGAUCUUGGAAGCCAAGCAGGGUAGGGCUUGGUUAAUACUAGGAUGGGAAGAAAGUUUGGAAAUCUGAAUAUAGUCC
rnacentral:rRNA from 1 species